UUACGGCCAUAUCACGUUGGAGCGCCGGUUCCCGUGCGAUUACCGCAGUUAAGCAACGUUGAUCCUGGUGAGUACCUAGAUAGCUAGCCGGUUGGGAAUACAAGGAGUUGUAA